GCACCUCUAGCUCAGUUGGUAGAGCAACUGACUCUUAAUCAGUGGGUCCAGGGUUCGAGUCCCUGGAGGUGCACCA
rnacentral:tRNA from 6 species